rnacentral:rRNA from 1 species
UACGAAGGGGGCUAGCGUUGCUCGGAAUCACUGGGCGUAAAGGGUGCGUAGGCGGGUCUUUAAGUCAGGGGUGAAAUCCUGGAGCUCAACUCCAGAACUGCCUUUGAUACUGGGGAUCUCGAGUCCGGAAGAGGUGAGUGGAACUCCGAGUGUAGAGGUGAAAUUCGUAGAUAUUCGGAAGAACACCAGUGGCGAAGGCGGCUCACUGGUCCGGUACUGACGCUGAGGAGCGAAAGCGUGGGGAGCGAACAGG